CCCAGCAUGGCAUAGUGCUUUGAGUAUUGGACUCCAAUUCUGGAGACCAGGGUUCGAUUCCCUGUUCAGCCA